UACGUAGGGGGCAAGCGUUAUCCGGAUUUACUGGGUGUAAAGGGAGCGCAGGCGGCGUGGCAAGUCAGAUGUGAAAACCCGGGGCCCAACCCCGGGAGUGCAUUUGAAACUGCCAUGCUGGAGUGCCGGAGAGGUAAGCGGAAUUCCUAGUGUAGCGGUGAAAUGCGUAGAUAUUAGGAGGAACACCAGUGGCGAAGGCGAUUUGCUGGGCCAUCACUGACGCUGAGGUACGAAAGCGUGGGGAGCAAAUAGG
rnacentral:rRNA from 1 species